rnacentral:rRNA from 1 species
AGUGAACGCUGGCGGCGUGCCUAAUACAUGCAAGUCGAACGGAGUGGCGCACGGGGGAGUAAUGUUUAGCUAAUCUAACCUACACUAGAGGACAACAGUUGGAAACGGCAGCUAAUACACUAUAGUGUAGGAUGAGGCUAUAUUGUAUCAGCUAGUUGUUGAGGGAAUGGUUCACCAAGGCUAUGACGCAUAACUGGUCUGGGAGGAUGAUCAGUCACCCUGGAAGUGAGACACGGUCGAGACUCCUACGGGAGGCAGCAGUAGGGAAUAUUGCUCAAUGGGGGAAACCCUGAAGCAGCAACGCCGCGUGGAGGAUGACACUUUUCGGAGCGUAAUCUCCUUUUGAUAGGGAAGCGGUACCUAACGAAUAAGCACCGGCUAACUCCGUGCCAGCAGCCGCGGUAAUUC